UACGUGAGGUGGCAAGCGUUUGUCCGGAAUUAUUGGGCGUAAAGCGCGCGCAGGCGGCCUCUUAAGUCUGAUGUGAAAGCCCCCCGGCUCAACCGGGGAGGGCCAUUGGAAACUGGGAGGCUUGAGUAUAGGAGAGAAGAGUGGAAUUCCACGUGUAGCAGGUGAAAUGCGUAGAGAGUGUGGAGGAACACCAGUGGCGAAGGCGACUCUUUGGACCUAUAACUGACGCUGAGGCGCGAAAGCGUUGGGGAGCAAACAGG
rnacentral:rRNA from 1 species